GUAGAUGGCAAGCGUUGUCCGGAAUUAUUGGGCGUAAAGCGCGCGCAGGCGGUUCUUUAAGUCUGAUGUGAAAGCCCACGGCUCAACCGUGGAGGGUCAUUGGAAACUGGAGAACUUGAGUACAGAAGAGGAAAGCGGAAUUCCACGUGUAGCGGUGAAAUGCGUAGAGAUGUGGAGGAACACCAGUGGCGAAGGCGGCUUUCUGGUCUGUAACUGACGCUGAGGCGCGAAAGCGUGGGGGGAGCAAACAGGAUUAGAUACCCUGGUAGUCCACGCCGUAAACGAUGAGUGCUAAGUGUUAGGGGGUUUCCGCCCCUUAGUGCUGCAGCUAACGCAUUAAGCACUCCGCCUGGGAGUACGGCCGCAAGGCUG
rnacentral:rRNA from 1 species